rnacentral:rRNA from 1 species
AGCCCAUCAACUAGCUCAACUUAUAAAAACAACAUAACAUCAUUAAUUAACCCCACAGACAUUACACGACAAGUUAACUAAAACAUUUUUUGCUCUUAGUCCGGGAGACCAAAAAGAGCUAUUAACGAAGCUACAGAAAAAGUACCGCAAGGGAAAGCUGAAAGAGAUAUGAAAAAGCCCAGUAAAGCCCGAAAAAGCAGAGACACCCCCUCGUACCUUUUGCAUCAUGAUUUAGCUAGUAUUCCCAAGCAAAGAGUCCUUUAGUUUGGAGCCCCGAAACCGAGGGAGCUACUUCAAGACAGCCUAAAAAUAGGGCUAACCCUUCCCUGUGGCAAAAGGGUGGGAUGAGCUUUAAGUAGAGGUGAUAAACCUAACGAACUCAGUUAUAGCUGGUUGCCUGAAAAUUGGAUAUAAGUUCAGCCUCCCGGCUCCUCCCCUCCUUAGUAUCUAUAAUAUACAGGCCCAAAGGAACCAAGAGAGUUAUUCGAAAGAGGUACAGCUCUUUUGAAAAAAGAUACAACUUUAUCAGGAGGUUAAAGAUCAUAUUUUGUAAAGUUAUACUUCUGAGUAGGCUUAGAAGCAGCCAUCUCCUUAGAUAGCGUUAAAGCUCAAACAAAUAAUUUACUUGCAAUCUCUAUAAACAGAUCUAACACCCCUAGUAUUAUCAGGCCUCCCUAUAUUUUCUUAUAGGAGAGACCAUGCUAAUAUGAGUAAUAAGAGAACCAGACGUUUCUCUCCUGACACAAGUGUAAGUCGGAACGGACCACCCGCCGAAAAUUAAACGGACCCAACCCAAGAGGGAAGUGGAUUUUACUCAAAAAUGCAAGAAAGCCCCCCAUGAGACACCCGUUAACCUCACACUAGAGUGCCCCCGGAAAGACUAAAAGGAGAGGAAGGAACUCGGCAAAUUCUACCCGCAAGCUUCGCCUGUUUACCAAAAACAUCGCCUCUUGUCCCCAAAAAAUAAGAGGUCCUGCCUGCCCAGUGACCAAAAGUUUAACGGCCGCGGUAUUCUGACCGUGCAAAGGUAGCGUAAUCACUUGUCCUUUAAAUGAAGACCUGUAUGAAUGGCGUCACGAAAGCUUAACUGUCUCCCUCCCCCAGUCAAUGAAAUUGAUCUCCCCGUGCAGAAGCGGGGAUAAGCACAUAAGACGAGAAGACCCUGUGGAGCUUCAGACACUAAGACCAGCCCAUAUAAAUACUUAACUAUAAAUUAGUGUAUAAAUUGUAUAGCCCCUGGACGGAUGUCUUCGGUUGGGGCGACCAUGGGGUAAUAAAAAACCCCCAAGAGGACAGAAGCACUACCCAUGUAACACAGCUUCCGUAAAAAAGGUUGACAAACCUAAUUCACAGAACCUCUGACCCAAUCAGAUCCGAUGCAAAUCGAUCAACGAACCAAGUUACCCCAGGGAUAACAGCGCAAUCCUCUUCAAGAGCCCAUAUCGACAAGGGGGUUUACGACCUCGAUGUUGGAUCAGGACAUCCUAAUGGUGCAGCCGCUAUUAAGGGUUCGUUUGUUCAACGAUUAAAGUCCUACGUGAUCUGAGUUCAGACCGGAGCAAUCCAGGUCAGUUUCUAUCUAUGAUACAGCCUCUUUUCUAGUACGAAAGGACCGAAAAGAGAAGGCCAAUGCUUAAAGCACGCCUAAUCUUAAUACUAUUGAAAUAACUCAAAUAGUCAUAGAAACUUUAUUUUAGCUAUAAAUAAUAGCAU